rnacentral:rRNA from 1 species
CCUACGGGUGGCAGCAGUGAGGAAUAUUGGUCAAUGGGCGUAAGCCUGAACCAGCCAAGUCGCGUGAGGGAUGAAGGUUCUAUGGAUCGUAAACCUCUUUUGUCAGGGAAUAAAGUCCGGGACGUGUCCCGGUUUGUAUGUACCUUAUGAAUAAGCAUCGGCUAACUCCGUGCCAGCAGCCGCGGUAAUACGGAGGAUCCGAGCGUUAUCCGGAUUUCUUGGGUUUAAAGGGUGCGUAGGCGGCCUUUUAAGUCAGCGGUGAAAGGCCGGGGGGCAACCAUAGACUUGCUGUUGAAACUGGCAGGCUUGAGUAGGAGAGAGGCAGGCGGAAUGCGUGGUGUAGCGGUGAAAUGCUUAGAUAUCGCGCAGAACCCCGAUUGCGAAGGCAGCAUGCC